rnacentral:piRNA from 1 species
UGCUGCUUAUUCCUGAUUUCCUACAGAUC